UACGGAGGGUGCAAGCGUUAUCCGGAUUCACUGGGUUUAAAGGGUGCGUAGGCGGCUAUAUAAGUCAGUGGUGAAAGCUUCCCGCUUAACGGGAAAACUGCCAUUGAAACUGCAUAGCUUGAAUAUGGUUGAAGUGGAUGGAAUAUAUCAUGUAGCGGUGAAAUGCUUAGAUAUGAUGUAGAACACCGAUUGCGAAGGCAGUUCACUAAGCCAUCAUUGACGCUGAGGCACGAAAGCGUGGGUAGCGAACAGG
rnacentral:rRNA from 1 species